rnacentral:lncRNA from 1 species
AUGGUGAUAAAUCUACUAAUCUUCUUUUUUUUUUUUUUCUUCCUGUUUAAAGCACCUGAUGUGGGGAAACUGAAAGGGUUGAUGAUCUCAGAGAGACGCUUUCUUCUCAGUGAUCAGGCGGCUCCAGCUCACCGCAGUCGCAAUCAAACUAUCCUCCAUUUUACACUGGGAUACCCUGCAAACAGAGCAGAAAACAACCGAUUAGCAACGUACUGUAAGUCAGAAGACCAAACUCCGGCUCCAGCUCACCGCAGUCGCAAUCAAACUAUCCUCCAUUUUACACUGGGAUACCCUGCAAAACAGAGCAGAAAACAACCGAUUAGCAACGUACUGUAAGUCAGAAGACCAAAACUCGAAUUAGAAUGCCAUUCGCUAUGAGCACUUCAUAAAUAUGCUUUCUCUUUUCUAAGGAGAGGAUGUUGAAAAUGUAAUGAAUCUGAGCAGCGUUCAACUGUACAGAGGAUAAUGAAAAGAACAUAAUAUAAUCUUAAAGUGACAUACUCAUUUAAAGACCACAAGUAGCCUACACAAAAGAAUACAGAGGACCGCUUAUUCAGUUCUGAACUUUCUCAGGGAAAUUGCAAUCAUGACAGCCCUCUUGGGCAAUGUGUGUGUGAUCGUUCAUGAACCCCAACUCUGACACAUCUACACUAUCUGAUGUCAUGGGUUCCCGUUUCUCCUCCUCAGACUGUAAAAAACACAGCAGUGAUCGGAGCACACAUGUAAUGGAUUAACACGGGUCCCAGCCUGUGUCUGAAGUCACAAAGGCUGGGGGUGAUACAGCCACGUUGCAGUAGUGUGUGAGAGAAAUGAUGGCCGACUGGCUGCCAACCAUUUUGUUAACUGAAGGAGGGGGCAACCAAACACUGAAUCAGUCUAGUACUGAUAUUAAACCAACACCUAUAAGACAUAUUUAAACAAUGACAAAGUGAAAGUGUGUUACUUAAACAUAAACCAAAUAAAUGUUUUGGAUCUACCACAUAAACUCAAUUAAACACAACGACAACGUUUAUUUCAACAUUCAACACUCAAACAGUAAAUAGAUUAAGGCUGUCCAGGAAUAACUAAAGAAAUUAGUUUAUAAUUAAAUAUUAAAGUAAAUAGUGUGAGGAUUUAAUGAACAAAAUACAAUAACGAGGAAAACUAAAAACUAUCGUGUUGUAUAUACGUGGAUUGUUUAUAUUGCAGUCCUGUAAAGAUUACAGGUGAUCAGGAUGUGUUUUUAUAUUUUUAUUGGUCAUUUUAGGUCCUCCAUUUUGCCGUCGGGCUACACGCUAAAGCUAAAACUGAACCGGCUCGGAGUCAAAAAACUCUUCCAUCUCAAAAACUAUAAUACACAAUCAAUAACCCAUUAAAAACAGUAGGAACCCCAAAUGUAAAAAACACAAUAAAACUGAUGUUAUAAUAAUACGAACAAUAAAAAAACGACAGGACUCACGUAAACAUCAAACCACCUUAAAACCAUGUUUUAAAACAAAUUUAUAACCCAGGUGAUGGUGAAAUAAAACGCGUAAUAACCAUACUAAUGUCUUACAUAAGAGUAAACAAUGUGCUCUAAUGAUUUACGUGUUAAAACUUGAUGUUUUAAGGCGCUUCAACGCGUUACCUGAACAAAGAAGGUUAUUGUGCCACGGCUGAUCAUCGCGCCGCCCUUUGCCGUUUAAAUAAACCCUUUAACCUACUCAAGUAACAAUACUUACGCCCUAGACACACUCAUAUAUAUAAAGCAAAGACAUAAAACAUGUACUUACUCUACACACGGGUGUCAUGUAUAUUUUAUUCCUAACCGUUCUUGGUCAGGUUUGUAUGCGCUACCAGCGCGCUUCCCUCGCAACUGCCGUGUAAAGCUCUUGUGUUGAAGCGCUGUGAGUAAGCACUGCUACGCAUGCGCAUCGCGCGCUUCUAUUUCUAUCCGCGUGAAGAGCUGCUCUAUGAAGCCUGAUGAAGCGUUUCUGCGCAUGGGCAUUGAACUCUCUUAGCGCUCCUCCCGCUUCUUUUAUUGCUAUGGGAACCGCGCCGUUUUCAAAUUUAUCAUUAAAUUGAAAUUCACUGCAAUAACCACAAAAUCUAUGAAGGGCCAGAGAACUUGAAAUUACAACAGUGCGCAUGGAAUUGUGAAAUCAACAAAUAAUUUGGUAAAUAAAUCUAUUUUUAUAUUCACCAACAGCACAUAAAAAUACAACAAUUUAUGUUUAAAAAUUGUGCAAUAUUUUGUUUUACCACAAACCUAGUGUAUAACUAAAUAUUUUAAACAAGUUUUAGAAUAAGCAUUUUAAGCAUUACAU